GGUUAAGCGACUAAGCGUACACGGUGGAUGCCCCGGCAGUCAGAGGCGAUGAAGGACGUGCUAAUCUGCGAUAAGCGUCGGUAAGGUGAUAUGAACCGUUAUAACCGGCGAUUUCCGAAUGGGGAAACCCAGUGUGAUUCGUCACACUAUCAUUAACUGAAUCCAUAGGUUAAUGAGGCGAACCGGGGAACUGAAACAUCUAAGUACCCCGAGGAAAAGAAAUCAACCGAGAUUCCCCCAGUAGCGGCGAGCGAACGGGGAGCAGCCCAGAGCCUGAAUCAGUGUGUGUGUUAGUGGAAGCGUCUGGAAAGGCGCGCGAUACAGGGUGACAGCCCCGUACACAAAAACACAUGCUGUGAGCUCGAUGAGUAGGGCGGGACACGUGGUAUCCUGUCUGAAUAUGGGGGACCAUCCUCCAAGGCUAAAUACUCCUGACUGACCGAUAGUGAACCAGUACCGUGAGGGAAAGGCGAAAAGAACCCCGGCGAGGGGAGUGAAAAAGAACCUGAAACCGUGUACGUACAAGCAGUGGGAGCCUCUUUAUGGGGUGACUGCGUACCUUUGUAUAAUGGGUCAGCGACUUAUAUUCUGUAGCAAGGUUAACCGAAUAGGGGAGCCGAAGGGAAACCGAGUCUUAACUGGGCGUUAAGUUGCAGGGUAUAGACCCGAAACCCGGUGAUCUCAGCCAUGGGCAGGUUGAAGGUUGGGUAACACUAACUGGAGGACCGAACCGACUAAUGUUGAAAAAUUAGCGGAUGACUUGUGGCUGGGGGUGAAAGGCCAAUCAAACCGGGAGAUAGCUGGUUCUCCCCGAAAGCUAUUUAGGUAGCGCCUCGUGAAUUCAUCUCCGGGGGUAGAGCACUGUUUCGGCAAGGGGGUCAUCCCGACUUACCAACCCGAUGCAAACUGCGAAUACCGGAGAAUGUUAUCACGGGAGACACACGGCGGGUGCUAACGUCCGUCGUGAAGAGGGAAACAACCCAGACCGCCAGCUAAGGUCCCAAAGUCAUGGUUAAGUGGGAAACGAUGUGGGAAGGCCCAGACAGCCAGGAUGUUGGCUUAGAAGCAGCCAUCAUUUAAAGAAAGCGUAAUAGCUCACUGGUCGAGUCGGCCUGCGCGGAAGAUGUAACGGGGCUAAACCAUGCACCGAAGCUGCGGCAGCGACACUAUGUGUUGUUGGGUAGGGGAGCGUUCUGUAAGCCUGUGAAGGUGUACUGUGAGGUAUGCUGGAGGUAUCAGAAGUGCGAAUGCUGACAUAAGUAACGAUAAAGCGGGUGAAAAGCCCGCUCGCCGGAAGACCAAGGGUUCCUGUCCAACGUUAAUCGGGGCAGGGUGAGUCGACCCCUAAGGCGAGGCCGAAAGGCGUAGUCGAUGGGAAACAGGUUAAUAUUCCUGUACUUGGUGUUACUGCGAAGGGGGACGGAGAAGGCUAUGUUGGCCGGGCGACGGUUGUCCCGGUUUAAGCGUGUAGGCUGGUUUUCCAGUGCAAAUCCGGAAAAUCAAGGCUGAGGCGUGAUGACGAGGCACUACGGUGCUGAAGCAACAAAUGCCCUGCUUCCAGGAAAGCCUCUAAGCAUCAGGUAACAUCAAAUCGUACCCCAAACCGACACAGGUGGUCAGGUAGAGAAUACCAAGGCGCUUGAGAGAACUCGGGUGAAGGAACUAGGCAAAAUGGUGCCGUAACUUCGGGAGAAGGCACGCUGAUACGUAGGUGAAGCGACUUGCUCGUGGAGCUGAAAUCAGUCGAAGAUACCAGCUGGCUGCAACUGUUUAUUAAAAACACAGCACUGUGCAAACACGAAAGUGGACGUAUACGGUGUGACGCCUGCCCGGUGCCGGAAGGUUAAUUGAUGGGGUUAGCGGUAACGCGAAGCUCUUGAUCGAAGCCCCGGUAAACGGCGGCCGUAACUAUAACGGUCCUAAGGUAGCGAAAUUCCUUGUCGGGUAAGUUCCGACCUGCACGAAUGGCGUAAUGAUGGCCGGGCUGUCUCCACCCGAGACUCAGUGAAAUUGAACUCGCUGUGAAGAUGCAGUGUACCCGCGGCAAGACGGAAAGACCCCGUGAACCUUUACUAUAGCUUGACACUGAACAUUGAGCCUUGAUGUGUAGGAUAGGUGGGAGGCUUUGAAGUGUGGACGCCAGUCUGCAUGGAGCCGACCUUGAAAUACCACCCUUUAAUGUUUGAUGUUCUAACGUUGGCCCCUAAUCGGGGUUGCGGACAGUGUCUGGUGGGUAGUUUGACUGGGGCGGUCUCCUCCUAAAGAGUAACGGAGGAGCACGAAGGUUGGCUAAUCCUGGUCGGACAUCAGGAGGUUAGUGCAAUGGCAUAAGCCAGCUUGACUGCGAGCGUGACGGCGCGAGCAGGUGCGAAAGCAGGUCAUAGUGAUCCGGUGGUUCUGAAUGGAAGGGCCAUCGCUCAACGGAUAAAAGGUACUCCGGGGAUAACAGGCUGAUACCGCCCAAGAGUUCAUAUCGACGGCGGUGUUUGGCACCUCGAUGUCGGCUCAUCACAUCCUGGGGCUGAAGUAGGUCCCAAGGGUAUGGCUGUUCGCCAUUUAAAGUGGUACGCGAGCUGGGUUUAGAACGUCGUGAGACAGUUCGGUCCCUAUUUGCCGUGGGCGCUGGAGAACUGAGGGGGCUGCUCCUAGUACGAGAGGACCGGAGUGGACGCAUCACUGGUGUUCGGGUUGUCAUGCCAAUGGCACUGCCCGGUAGCUAAAUGCGGAAGAGAUAAGUGCUGAAAGCAUCUAAGCACGAAACUUGCCCCGAGAUGAGUUCUCCCUGACUCCCUGAGAGUCCUGAAGGAACGUUGAAGACGACGACGUUGAUAGGCCGGGUGUGUAAGCGCAGCGAUGCGUUGAGCUAACCGGUACUAAUGAACCGUGAGGCUUAACCUU
rnacentral:rRNA from 1 species